AGAGUUUGAUCAUGGCUCAGGACGAACGCUGGCGGCGUGCCUAAUACAUGCAAGUCGAGCGAAUCUUUGGGAGCUUGCUCCUGAAGAUUAGCGGCGGACGGGUGAGUAACACGUGGGCAACCUGCCUGUAAGACUGGGAUAACUUCGGGAAACCGGAGCUAAUACCGGAUAAUUCAUUUUUCUCACAUGAGGAAAAAGCU
rnacentral:rRNA from 1 species